rnacentral:rRNA from 1 species
GUCCACGCCGUAAACGAUGGAUGCCAGCCGUUGGCAAGCAUGCUUGUCAGUGGCGCAGCUAACGCAUUAAGCAUCCCGCCUGGGGAGUACGGCCGCAAGGUUGAAACUCAAAGGAAUUGACGGGGGCCCGCACAAGCGGUGGAGCAUGUGGUUUAAUUCGACGCAACGCGCAGAACCUUACCAGGGUUUGACAUCCUGUGCUCACCUCAGAAAUGGGGUUUCCCCGCAAGGGGCGCAGAGACAGGUGCUGCAUGGCUGUCGU